rnacentral:RNase_P_RNA from 1 species
UCUAUCAGCCAGGCUAUCGCUUCAGGUAACUGAAGAGGAAAGUCCGGACAGCAAAGGGCAACACACCGGUGAAUAGCCGGCUGGCUUAACCGAUAGCAAUAUUAGUUUGGCCAAGAGAAAGUGCCACAGAAAAUAACUGCCUGUUGCUCCUUCCGGGAAAAACAGGUGAGGGUGAAAAGGUGAGGUAAGAGCUCACGGUUGGUAUAAGUAAUUAUACUUUCGGGUAAACCUUGUGUGCUGUAAUGCCAUGUAUACCAGUGUUUGAGGGCGGCUCGCCCGAGCUGGAGGGUAGGCAGCAAGAUCGUAACAGUAAUGUUGCGGCCAGAUAAAUGAUAGUCGCUCAAUUUAUUGAGAACAAAAUCCGGCUUAUCGGCUGAUAGUUUUU